UUAAUGAAUAUAUUUUUACUUAUUACUACUAUUUAUGGUAAUAUUUGUACAAAAAUAAAAGAACAAUUUUCCAAAUUAUGUUUUGUACAUUUUAACAAGGACAUAAUAAACAACUAUUUAGUUCUGAUUAAAAAAUUACAUGUGUACAUAUCGGUUGGCGUAAUGGAAAUAACGAAGUUCUAUGUGCAGAUAAAAAAAGUGAAUACUGUGGAAAGUGUUAAACAAAAUGGUGCACUAAACUCAGACAUACAGCGUGACCGAGGCUGCAACAGUGGAAGUGACCAUAAGCUAGACUCUGAACAAACAAAUACAAUUCAUCAUAACCAAAAAAAUAAACCCACGAUCGUUUUCCAACAUCUAUAUAAAGAAAUAAAUAAACAUUUAAAUUUAUAUCAUAAAAAAAUUACUACCUUUAAAAAGAUACUAAAUAUAUAUUUAAUAACAUUUAAAAACUACAAAAAGUAUCAAACAGAAUAUGCUUAUAAAAAGUUGAAGACAUUAAUUAAAUACAAAAGUGGGUAUGAUCUUUUACUUUUUUCAAUUAUAAUUAAAUGCAAAAGUCUAGGUAACUUAUGUAUACAAAAUAUAUUAAACAAUUUUGAUGUAAAGCAGUGUGAGCAAGAAAAACAUUAUUUAUACUUUUCUGUUUUUAGUAAUAAAAUGAAAAAAAGCAUCAUGAAGAAAAUCAAAAAGAAAAUUUCGAAUGAUGAGUAUAAAAAAAUGAAACUUAUUAUGUUCGAUAAGCAACAGACAAACGCGGUUGAAAUGGAUUUUGUUAAUAACAAAAAAGAAAGUGAAACCAGAGUUGUGCUAAUUGGAAAAAAUAGUGAAUUAAUAACUAAAAAGCAUGAGUUAUGCCAAGAAAAAUCUGAAUAUUAUUAUAAAAAUACGUUUUCUAAUUACAAUUCACAAGAAAAAAGUAAAAAUGGAAAAAAUAAAAAAAUAGAACAACUAAGUAGUGAUACUACGCAUAGCUACAAAAAAGAGUUUGGAAAUGAGUGGGAACAAAAAAAUUGCAAGCGGAAUUGUGAAAAUAAGAACGAAAAAAAUUACAAAACAAAUUGUUCUACACAUAAAAAAACGAACUUAGUAUGUUUGUCUACAAAUACAGCUACUGAUAACUUAACUAUAUCCCCAUACUUAAACAAUGAUGAACACCAACAAUGGAAACAACAUGCUAAUAAUAUUUUAAGAACAAAAAACACUUUAAAUUUUGUUAAAAAUGUUAGAAGAUUGUUAGAUCAAAAUACAUUCGAUACAUUUAAUAAUGAUUGUAGCAUAAGUACAAGCUUUUUAAAAGCACAAAAAAAAAAAGAAAAUGAGCAUAUUACUACUUUUGUCCCAGAUUAUGACUGUUCAAGUAAAAGUGGGUAUGAGUACUAUGAAGACAAUGGAAACAAUGAAAAUUGUAGCAAAUUGACUGAAAAUUACAUAAAUUUAGCUACAGCUGAUAGUGUUAUAAAAAAAAAAAAAAAAAAAUUAGCAGGUAAACUAAACGAUUUGACUGUCGUGUUCAAACAGUAUGAACUAAUAAAAAAAAAACAAGUUACAAAUAAGAAUAAACAUAAAAAUAGUAUGAAUUCAAAUUGUAAUUUAAAAAAGAAGGUAAAUUUUGGUGAAAGUUCGAGUUUGAUUAACGAAGGUUUCAACUUUGUUACUGAUGAAGAAAACAACCGAACGUUUUACAAUAGUGGUAGUUGUAAGGACAGUAACACUAUUAGUGACAACUUAGAAAAAAAAAAUAAUAACAAAAAAGACGCAACGAAAAAAACUAGGAAAAAAGUAGGUAGUAAAAUGGGUAGUAAAACGGAAGGAUAUAUAAAAAUAAAAAAUAGUAACCAUAAUAAAGAAAAAGAAAGUAGUUAUAAGACGAUUGAAAAUAAAUAUAACGACAGUAGUAGU
rnacentral:lncRNA from 1 species